GUCAUAGAACUACAAAGUGUUAUUAUAACUCCAUGCAUGUGAGACCCAAGAUUAAACAAAUUUGGGUCCCCAAAGGCACUAACAAUGAAGGACCCAUGCAAAUAUGGGUACCAAAAUGAAGGUUCAAAUGUUUUGACAGGAAAAGAGCUCCACGACCUCAACAUGGUAUCUGGACAGUGGAUGCUCAAGGCAUAUGACAGGGAACAAAGCUCUACUAUCUAACUAUGUAGAAAAGGAG
rnacentral:lncRNA from 1 species